AUAUCAAUAAGCAGAGGAAAAGAAACCAACAGGGAUUGCCUUAGUAAUGGCGAAUGAAGAGGCAAGAGCUCAAAUUUGUAAUCUGGUUUAUUGUAUAAACUAGAGUUGUAAUUUGAAGAGGAUGCUUUGGUAGGGUGCCAAUCCAAGUUCUUUGGAGUAGGACAUCAUAGAAGGUGAGAAUCCUGUUUAUGAUUGGCAAUCCUGUGCCAUGUAAAGCUCCUUCAAUGAGUCGGGUUGUUUGGGAAUGCAGCUCUAAAUGGGAGGUAAAUUUCUUCUAAAGCUAAAUAUUGGCCAGAAACCGAUAGUGAACAAGUAGAGUGAUCGAAAGAUGAAAAGCACUUUGAAAAGAGAGUUAAACAGUAUGUGAAAUUGUUGAAAGGGAAGCGCUUGCAACCAGACUUGCGCGCCGUCGAUCAUCCGAGGUUUUCCCCGGUGCACUCGGCGGUGCUCAGGCCAGCAUCGGUUUCGGUGGUUAGAUAAAGGCCUUGGGAAUGUGGCUCCUCCGGGAGUGUUAUAGCCCUCGGUGCAAUGUAGCCUACUGGGACCGAGGACCGCGCUUCGGCUAGGAUGCUGGCGUAAUGGUUGUAAGCGA
rnacentral:rRNA from 1 species